ensembl:snRNA U6 U6 spliceosomal RNA
GUGCUUGCUUCGGCAGCACAAAUACUCAAAUUGGAAAGAUACAGAGAUCAUCAUGGCCCCUGAGCAGGGAUUCCACACAAAUUCGAAAUGCCUUGGGUAAAUCA